rnacentral:lncRNA from 1 species
GCCCUCAGUAGCUGAAUUAACCCAGCUACCUUUAUUUGCAAACAGAAGGACUCAAUUUAUACAGAGAGGUAGAGAACUAUCCUCAUGCCCAGAAUGAAGCUAUGAAUCCUGAUUAUGCUCAAGUGUAAGGCAGAGAGAAGGAGGAAGAGGAGGGCUUGGUUUUGCUGUGUUAGGGGUGGCUGAGGUGGAGGAAAAUCUGUGUACAAGAAGACACCCGCAGUUCAAACCUGUGUUGUUCAAGGAUCAAUUGUGCUUUAUCUUUUAACAGCAAAGUGCUGUUGGAAGAAGAUACAUAAAUUUAAUACUUCUCAAUCCUGGACGGAAUGUUGGGGGUGGAGGAGUUUAAGAAAAUACUGAUGAUCAGAUCCCACCUGAGACCAAGAAUAUUAGAAUCUCUGGGGUAGUACUGGGCAUUGGUAUAUUUUUUUAAGCUUCCCAGCUGUUACCAGUUCAUAUGGAUUGGAUAUUUGUCUCCUCCAAAUCUCAUGUUGAAAUGCAAUCCUCAGUGUUGGAGGUGGGGCCUGGUGGGAGGUGUUUGGAUCAUGGGGGCGGGUCCCUCAUGAAAGGCUUGGUGUCCUCCCCGUGAUAAUGAGUGAAGUCUUGCUUUAUUCAUUCACGUGAAAACUGGCUUAAAAGAGCCUGGCACCUCUCUUGCUCCCUCUCACCAUGUAACACGCC